GCAUGAGUCUGGAUUUAUAGCAGGCCUGUCCUUCUGGGCGUCUCAUAGCAUUCCAUGCCAGAGCAAACUGUAUCUCAGAACCAUUGCUUAGCCUCUGCCUGUAGACUGCUGGCACUGAAGUAGGCUGCACAGUG
rnacentral:snoRNA from 1 species